rnacentral:rRNA from 1 species
UACUCCUACGGGAGGCAGCAGUAAGGAAUAUUGGUCAAUGGACGAAAGUCUGAACCAGCCAUGCCGCGUGGAGGAUGAAGGUCCUCUGGAUUGUAAACUUCUUUUAUCUGGGACGAAAAAAGGUCUUUCUAGAUCGUCUGACGGUACCAGAUGAAUAAGCACCGGCUAACUCCGUGCCAGCAGCCGCGGUAAUA